UUCCGGAGUUCUACAGCAAGAUAGUUCCUCGUACAUAGAGUGUGAAUAUAUUUUAGUGAAUUUUCGUUUGAUUACAAUUGUAAGUACACAUAAAGAUGAACAGGUUAUUUGGGAGAGGCAAACCUAAGCAACCACCACCAGAUUUGAACGAAUGUGUGGCAAAUAUUGACAGCAGGGGGGAGUCCAUUGAGAAGAAAAUAUCCAAACUUGACCAGGAGCUGAAAAAAUAUAAAGACCAGAUGGCGAAAAUGAGGAAUGGUCCAUCAAAGAAUAUGGUAAAGCAAAAAGCCAUGCGAGUGUUAAAACAGAAGAAAAUGUAAG